rnacentral:rRNA from 1 species
AACGAACGCUGGCGGCAGGCCUAAUACAUGCAAGUCGAACGCUUGUAGCAAUACAAGAGUGGCGCACGGGUGAAUAACACGUGGGAAUAUGCCUUUUGGUACGGGACAACCUCGGGAAACUGAGGCUAAUACCGUAUGGUCCCUUCGGGGUAAAGAUUUAUCGCCAAAAGAUUAGCCCGCGUCUGAUUAGCUAGUUGGUGAGGUAACGGCUCACCAAGGCGACGAUCAGUAGCUGGUCUGAGAGGACGAUCAGCCACACUGGGACUGAGACACGGCCCAGACUCAUACGGGAGGCAGCAGUAGGGAAUAUUGGACAAUGGGCGCAAGCCUGAUCCAGCCAUGCCGCGUGAGUGAUGAAGGCCUUCGGGUUGUAAAACUCUUUAGCCCGCGAAUAAAAUGACUGUAGCGGGAAAAUAAGCCCCGGCUAACUUCGUGCCAGCCGCCGCGGUAA